rnacentral:rRNA from 1 species
CGAAAGUUGCGCUAAUACCGCAUACGCCCUGAGGGGGAAAGCGGGGGACCGUAAGGCCUCGCGCGAUUAGAGCGGCCGAUGUCUGAUUAGCUUGUUGGUGAGGUAAAAGCUCACCAAGGCGAUGAUCAGUAGCUGGUCUGAGAGGACGAUCAGCCACACUGGGACUGAGACACGGCCCA